UGGGAGACCCGAUGCGAGGUUUUUUAUUAUUAUUUCAAAGGAAAGGUUUCCCGGAAUGUCCUAGAGACACUCCCGAAAAUAUAUGCUUCAGUUUGGUUAAUACUAGUUAACUAAAUUAAUGUUGCAAUCCGAUAGUCUUACUUAGAAUUACUAGCAAUAUGUUUAGAUUCCGUCUAUAUUUUCUUCUGUUCAUUUCGCCCUCAUCUUAUUGUCUAUUUCUAGCAGCUGUAACCUCCUCCCACUACUGCUCCCAUUGUAUGAUUGAUUGAUUUACAGAGAUUUGAAGAGGAGACAGUAUUGAUGCUUUUGAACUUUUGUGUUGGGAAAGAUUUCUGAGAAUUCCUGGAUAGUGAAGGAAAAAAAUUAUCACUGAACAAAUCAACCCAGAAUGGUCACUCCAGGUGCAAGUGACUAGGUUCUUGUUUUGGACAUAUUAUGCUAAGACCUAGUCUCUGGAAAAGGUUCCAAUGCUGGAAAAAGAUGGAAAGAAAGAACAACCAGCUGCAAAGGGAAUGGAUUUAGUUACAGUGGCAAUGGGAGCACCAUGGAAAGACCUGAAGAACCACAGUGGGGACAGAUCCUUAUGGAGAAAAAUCUUUCAGUGGUUACUAAGAGUCUUCGCUGACAUGAUGAUACAUAAUCAAAGAACUGCAACCAAUUCUGGGCACAUAAUAGAGAUAUAUCUGCCAUGGAUUGGAAUAAUUUCAUACACUAAGCCGGAUGACUAAUUCUAUAUAAGCAUUCUGUUCUCUAGACCAGAUGGAUAGAUGAAGACAUUGAGUUUUCUUAAAGGUAGGAGCCUGUUAAAAUUUUCUUAAGUAUAUAGCCAGUCAUAGAGGGUUAAAUGCCUAUUAUACUUUAUAUCACUCUUAUUUCCAAGAUUUGUUGCUCUGUGCUAUGGUUAGGAAACCAUCAAUGAUUGUGGAAAUCAAUAGCUCAAAUGAAAAUAAAGGAUACACAAUUCAAUCAUUUAAAAAGGAAUUCCAGUUAAUGGGCUUUAGAAAGAUACAAAUCAUUUCUUCCCUUGCCAAGAAAACUGCAGGGAUUUGUCUAGUCAGUCUCCAAGAAUUUAGGAUUGCAGCCAUGAGAAGAGAGAGACAAAUGACCUAGAGCCAGAGGACUGUUCACUAAUUCAGAGUAAUGAGACACAUCUUGGAAUGUUUUGUGUUAUAACAUGAGGUGGAUUUAUUUCAGAUGUUUUAAUCCUACACUAUGCAAUAUUAUCCUAGCUGCCAUUGAAUAUGUAGUUAUGCUUAACUGCAUUUUUUACUCCUAUCUCGCCAGUUAGACCACUCUAAACAGUGGCACUUGGUGGCAGCACUGAGGCUGGGCCUGAGGCUGAGGCCCAGGCCUCAGCUUCAGCCCAAGUGCCACCAGCAGAUGCACAAGCUUUGGGGAAUGGUGCAAAUUCCCCUGUGUCUCAAUGGUCCCUAGGUUAUGCUGUGUGCUACUUAUCUUCAGACAGUGUGCUCUUAAACUAUGGAAAGCAUGCUUUGUUCCCAUGUGAUUUUCAGAGGCUCCAGAGGCCAUGCAAGAGCACGGCCCUCUCACACAACUUCUGGAGGCUGUAUGAGAGCACACCCCAUUCUUGUGUAGCCUCUGCAUCUUCCAAAAAUGGCAUGAAAAUGUGGCAUGCUUUCAAGAAUAGUUGUUGUUGGGUGUUGGUGAAUCCUGGUAUAUAAUCCAAAAUGUGGCUUGUGACUUUUGACAUACAUCAUAGGUUCCCCAUCACUGGUUUAGUUUAUCAUAUGUACCAAAAUAAUUCUUCCAUUAACAUUUAUCUAAACCAUAGACCUAAAAAUCUUGAAGUAAUCCAUAUAUUUUAUUCACCAAAACCAGAUAAUUCUUGGAUUACUUCAUUGUUUCUGCUAAGUAUCUUUGCUAUUUGCUAAUGUAGCAAAAGAAUUUCUUUUCUGCAUUCUGUGUGCAUUGUUGCUUUCAGUAUAAUCCCAGUGUAUCUUGCUAUUCCCUUCUGUAUUUGCAAAAUGCAUGUUUUUACUGUCUCCUUUUCUGUUCCUGUUAGAUCUUUGAUUAUUCAUCAUUUAAACAAAUGCAUUUUCUCUGAAGUGCCUGAUCAGUCUCUGAAAGACCCGAGAAUUUUGUACCUCUGCAGCAGUUUCAAUACUGCAUUUCUAAAAGUUUUUAAAAACUUUAGUUUAAAAAUAAAACGUUGCUGUUUUGCUACAAAUAGCAAAAUGAUCAAAGGGUUAUUAAAUCCAUAUUAUACCAUAGCCAGAUAAGCACUGGAUCCUUAUCACUGAAGAAUUCUAGAUAUUGCUGAAUUAUAGCUGCACAGUGCUAGAUCUAAUUGAAUGAAGGUGAUAGAACAUGUACUAAUUUCUGCAACUGUGAAUAUCUGUAUAACUAAAAUCAAAGUUAUAGUUUCUAAAAAUAUAAAACAUGCUCAUUUACCAUCAAUUGAAGUACUAAAAAUUGAAUUUGAGGGUUUAUGGAGUGGGAAGUUACACAGUUCAGUGGCUACUGUAUACUGAUUCUGCUGGUAGAUUAAUAGAACAUACCACACAUUUUAUCACCCUUGAUGACAGAAAAAGUUCCACUAUAGCUAGUUAGAUCUCAUCUGAUUUCCACUGGAGAUAUGUAAGAAGUCAAGGGAAAUUCUAGGUGAUGAUUUGGAAAUUUUCAGAAACAUAGCCAUUUAAGAAGAGAAGACAGUCACAGUGUAAAAUCAGUGUUCCUGUUUCAAACAAACAUGCUUCAUUUGUUCUUUAUAUAACAACUCUUUCUGGACUUUCAAAAAAUAAUGUUAAGCCAUCAUCAAAAUUAGAGCCAGUUUGGUGUAGUAGUUAAGGCCUAGUCCUGCCUUAGGCAUAAAAACUGAUUUGGUGAUUUUGAGCCAGUCAUGCUCUCUU